rnacentral:rRNA from 1 species
GAUGAACGCUGGCGGCGUGCCUAAUACAUGCAAGUCGAGCGAACGGACGAGAAGCUUGCUUCUCUGAUGUUAGCGGCGGACGGGUGAGUAACACGUGGAUAACCUACCUAUAAGACUGGGAUAACUUCGGGAAACCGUAGCUAAUACCGGAUAAUAUUUUGAACCGCAUGGUUCAAAAGUGAAAGACGGUCUUGCUGUCACUUAUAGAUGGAUCCGCGCUGCAUUAGCUAGUUGGUAAGGUAACGGCUUACCAAGGCAACGAUGCAUAGCCGACCUGAGAGGGGGGGCGCCCACACGGAAAAGGAGACGCGGUCCAGACACAGCGGGGGGGAGCAAGUGGGGAUUCUUCCGAAAGGGGCGAAAGCCGGAGGGAGCAGAGCCGGGGGAGGAAGAAGGGUUUUGGAAACGAAAAACUUUUUUAUGGGGAAAAAAAAUGGGUGAAAGAAAGGGUACAAAUCUGGAGGAAACAAAAUAAGAGGGCCAGAGCAAGCUAGGUC